GCAGUGGUGGCUCAGUGGUAGACUUCUUGCCUUCCAUGCAGGAGACUCAGGUUUUAUUCCUAGCCAAUACA
rnacentral:tRNA from 1 species